GUCAGACAUGGCAAUGUUUAUCAUGCAGUGCACAUGUUCUCAUCAGUGAAGUCAUGCUUUCGCCUUUCGCAUCCAAGAGGCCAUACUAAUUAAAAUAUUUCACAUGUAAUGAGGCAUGGCAGGAUUUCUAUUAGUGACGUUAUACAGAUCGAUAUCUCAUGCAAUCAAGCAUGACAGGAUAAGCGACAAUUGAAAAUAUUUACAAAAAUAUAUUUAUGGUAAAUUGAGCUACAACCCGGCCUUUGUAGUAUGAUAAUAACAUUAAUCCUGUUUCAACAGUCAUAAUUUAAAGCUUACAUAAGUCAAACACUGCUGACGUUAGACAAAAGAAUCACAGGCUAAUCAAAACGCAAUAUCUUCCCUAUUUCUUCGAACGAUUUUACUGGCUUAGUGUAGUGAAAAGAAGCUUUAAUUAAAAAGGGUCAAAUUUCAGCCAUGGUAUCAUGAUAUCUACAUGUCGAU